rnacentral:rRNA from 1 species
UACGGAGGGUGCAAGCGUUAUCCGGAUUCACUGGGUUUAAAGGGUGCGUAGGUGGGUUGAUAAGUCAGUGGUGAAAUCCCCGAGCUUAACUUGGGAACUGCCAUUGAUACUGAUGGUCUUGAGUACAUUUGAGGUGGGCGGAAUGUGUCAUGUAGCGGUGAAAUGCUUAGAUAUGACACAGAACACCGAUUGCGAAGGCAGCUCACUAAACUGUAACUGACGCUGAGGCACGAAAGCGUGGGGAGCAAACAGG